UACGAAGGGGGCUAGCGUUGCUCGGAAUCACUGGGCGUAAAGGGCGCGUAGGCGGCCGAUCAAGUCGGAGGUGAAAGCCCAGGGCUCAACCCUGGAAUGGCCUUCGAUACUGGUUGGCUCGAGACCGGAAGAGGUCAGUGGAACUGCGAGUGUAGAGGUGAAAUUCGUAGAUAUUCGCAAGAACACCAGUGGCGAAGGCGGCUCACUGGCCCGGUACUGACGCUGAGGUGCGAAAGCGUGGGGAGCAAACAGG
rnacentral:rRNA from 1 species